ACCUGCAGGCUUUCCAGGAACUGCAGAUUGUGAACUGUCCAAAGCUCACUAGGGUGACCGGGCUGCAGAACAUUCGAUCGCUGAGCAUCUUGAUCGCACUCCGGUGUGAGCAGUUGCGCAUUUCGCCUGACGAAAGGCUCGGAUCCGUUCCACAGAAUGUACUAAUCAAGGAUUGCCCAAUGAUGACGGAGUGGUGCCUAAGAUAUUCAAUCCCCUAUGCCAGGUGAGUGGACUACGCUGUGAAGAUUCAUGAUGGCCGCGGCGCAAAACCCAGCAAGACGGAAGUGAGCAAUUAGGCCGCGUAGAUUCUGAAAAAAUUCGGUUCGCUUUUUCAGCAAACCGACCAAAAUAUUCUUAUUACUUUUUCGUUUUUGCGGAGCGGGCGGCCAGAUUCGCAGAUAGGACGUAAAACGCGGACCGCACAGCCGCGGGUCUGGCGGGGAGGACGACCCGAUAUCCGCUCACCCGGUUACAAAUACUCCUGGACCGGUCAAGCCCAACGGGGCCCGUCUACCACCGAAUGGCAGCCCACCAGACC